CAGCAGCCGCGGUAAUACCGGCGGCCCGAGUGGCGGUCACUAUUAUUGGGCUUAAAGCGUCCGUAGCCGGGUUGGGAAGUCCUCCGGGAAAUCUGGCCGCUUAACGGUCAGAAUGCCGGAGGAUACUCCCAGCCUAGGGAGCGGGGGAGGCCGAGGGGAUUCCCGGAGUAGGGGGGAAAUCCUAUAAUCCCGGGAGGACCACCUGUGGCGAAGGCGCUCGGCUGGAACGCGUCCGACGGUGAGGGACGAAGGCCAGGGGAGCAAACCGGAUUAGAUACCCGGGUAGUCCUGGCUGUAAACGAUGCGGACUUUGUGUCGGACAAGCUAUGAGCUUGUCCGGUGCCGGAGGGAAACCGUUAAGUCCGCCGCCUGGGGAGUACGGCCGCAAGGCUGAAACUUAAAGGAAUUGGCGGG
rnacentral:rRNA from 1 species